rnacentral:rRNA from 1 species
AUUGAACGCUGGCGGCAGGCCUAACACAUGCAAGUCGAACGGUAACAGGAAGAAGCUUGCUUCUUUGCUGACGAGUGGCGGACGGGUGAGUAAUGUCUGGGAAACUGCCUGAUGGAGGGGGAUAACUACUGGAAACGGUAGCUAAUACCGCAUAACGUCGCAAGACCAAAAAGGGGGACCUUCGGGCCUCUUGCCAUCGGAUGUGCCCAGAUGGGAUUAGCUAGUAGGUGGGGUAACGGCUCACCUAGGCGACGAUCCCUAGCUGGUCUGAGAGGAUGACCAGCAACACUGGAACUGAGACACGGUCCAGACUCCUACGGGAGGCAGCAGUGGGGAAUAUUGCACAAUGGGCGCAAGCCUGAUGCAGCCAUGCCGCGUGUAUGAAGAAGGCCUUCGGGUUGUAAAGUACUUUCAGCGGGGAGGAAGGGAGUAAAGUUAAUACCUUUGCUCAUUGACGUUACCCGCAGAAGAAGCACCGGCUAACUCCGUG